rnacentral:lncRNA from 1 species
GGACAUUCUUGCUUAAGCUGUGCAAAGUAUUCAUAUUUUGAUUCUUUCAAAAAGAUUCAUUUACACUGAAAUGAUCCAAACUUGGUGUAUCCCAGAUCAUUCAUUGCUGCAGCUAAGAAGUGGGUCACACCAUUGAGAACAAAGAAGUGUCCCAAUGUGGGCAGACUUACGUUUUUAUAACUGGAUAUUUCAGUUUUAAUUUUUUGGUGUUGAAGGAUGAGACAUUUUCCCUCCAACCCCACUUCCCACCCCAACAAGGCAACUGAUGGUGUCAGGGAAACCAUCAAACACUAACUACUUCAAGCUGCCUCCCCUCCCUAGUCCUAUGUGUAGGCAGUUGUUCCUUAUUGCAAAACAGGAAACAUUUAAAUAUAUUACUAAGUCCAUUAUGAAAGAAGUUGUUGAGCCAUGUGAACUAGAAUGAAAAUCUUACAGAACUUGUGUUCAGCAAGGGACUAUAAUGUGAUCUCAUUAAACCUGUUACUCGACCUCCCGUCCUAAUCUAGAUUUAUCCUUAGAGACAAAUUCUCUUUCAUGGGAGAUUAAAGAUCCAUUUGGCUCUCUGGACACAUGCUUCAGUCUGGUUCCUUCUGAGCUGUUCAUUACCCUCCCACGGGGCGCCCUGCUGGAGCAGAGCUAACCAAGGAGAUCUUGCCGUUGGGAUUUGACAAUUCAGCAUUUACGGUUGAUGUUUUUACUUUAGCUUUGGAGAUAAUCAACCUUGCCCAGGGUGCAUGGGACGGAAUGCCAAGUAUCAUUAAUUUUACUGUCAAGGCAAGCCUGGGAGGGGAGGGAAAGCUUGCGAAAGUACUGGGCUACACUUAUCAAAAUAUUCAGCCAGUCAACAAGCAUUUAUUGGAUAGUUGCUGUGUCUCAGGUACUGAGGAUAAAAUACAAGGAAUGAAUCCAUCCCUACUCUCACAGAGUUUUCAUUCUAAUAGGAAACGGUAUAUUUUAGAUAUGUACAAAAUAAGUAUGAAGACAAGUUAAUUUGGGACAGAAGACUAGUAGUUUCAAGAGUAGAGAUGGAGUACGUGAAGAACAGAGAGCAGGCUAAAAUGCUUUCCUUCCUCACUGAAACCCUCUUUCCUUCAAAAUGUUAAAUAGCUACCAUCUUUCCUGAGCUCCCUUGAGACUAAUAGUGUUUCUUCUUGGGGAAAGUAAUGAAAAUGAGGCUAGAGAUAUAGAAAUAGAUUGGGAAGGGCUUUAAAAAGCUAGCUGGAGUUUAUAGAUAAUCCUAGAGGGAAGUCGUCGAAGUUUUUUUGAGAGUGAGUGACCUGCUAGGACAGGGCUUAGCCACAAACUGAGGCAAAAACCCAAAUUAUGCUCAUACGAGGACAUUCCCCUUACCUCCCUUCCUCAUCAAAGCUAAGAGGGAGACUUCCAUAUUCCAUUGAAUUUCUGUGAAAUCUCCAUAGUCUCAUUGCUAGCAUGUAUUUCAUAUACAUUGAUACAUGAACUUCAAGAGGAUGCAGAAUAUUGCCAUGACUGACAUUGGUGGUGAUGCAAGAUUCUAGUUGCUAAUCUCUAUGACUUGAGAGGUCUCUGUCUUCCAAUCCCAAAAGGAAGGCCUGAUAACCAAAUGCAUUUGGUAGAACCUAUUCAUUGCAAGAGAAAAACAAAUUAUAAAUAAACAUAAAUACAUUAAAAAAUAAAAAUUAUAAAAGGGGCAGAUUUGAACAUCGUCAGAGUUCUUGUAUUCCCAAAUCCAGAACAGUAGAGAAAACUUCACCAAUAAUGAAGCUUCUUAGCUUAUAGGUAUCUUCCAUUCAAUUGAACAGUUAUUGAAUACCUACCAGGGGACCUCACACUUUUUAAAUAGGGGGCCAGUUCACUGUCCCUCAGACUGUUGGGGCUGGAGUAUAGUAAAAACAAACACUUUGUUUUGUGGGCCUUUAAAUAAAGAAACUUCAUAGCCCUGAGUGAGGGGGAUAAUCGUCCUCAGCUGCUGCAUCUGGCCUGUGGGCCGUAGUUUGAGGACCCCUGACUACACUAUCUACAAUAUAGUAGUGAUCCCUAGAUCUCAAGAGGCUUUAAGAGACAAGCAGUAAGAAAGAUUCAGAAAGGUCUUUUAAAUCCUGGCUAUCAUGCAAGGUACGAGUUUUGUAUGAGCUUUGAGCUCUUCUGGUUCAAACAGUAGUAGAAGCCCUUAGGUAGCUCUCAGAGCCUGCCAUUACCCAGGGCCUUUCACCACUGCCUCGCAGAUUGUCAGCCAGCAUUACUGAUCUAACGACCAAAUUUCCCUUAUUUUGCCCCCUUAGUCCUUAAUUCCUCAUAAUCCAGACCUUGAGAUUAUAUAAUUCAUACCACUGAUCAUGGCAGAAUCCUUUGGCGGGAAGAGAUCUCCAAAAUUCUAACCUUCCACUCCAUAGCCUGUGCACUUAACCCAGGGAAGAGCAAACCUUUCUUGUUUCUAAUAAGAGAUACUUCAAAGUAAAGAGAGAUACUUUUAUCUUCUGGCUCUUCCUCAAAAUUCUUCAUCUAACUUUGAGACCAUUAAAAGUUAUCUGUAAAUGGGAAAACUAAGAAUCAUAUUUUUAUUUUAAAAGUUCAAUAUCUACCAGUAAGUCUUGACCUUGAAAUUGUUGAAUCCAAAGGUGAAAAAUGUUUAAAUUAACAUAGGCAUUAAUUAGGGGAAGGAAAAGGCACUUGUAAGUGUCUUUACAAUUAGAAUUCAUUGAGAACCUGUAACAUCAUUUUAUUUCUUUUUUGUGUUCCAUUAGGAUUGCAUUCAUGGACUAAAAUAAAAUUCUUUUUUGGCUUUGCUACCAAAAAAAAAAAAGAGUUAUCUGUGAGUGAAAUUUUAAAAUCCCAAUCACUUAUGGGACUUAGGGCAGCAACCAGUGAUAAAGCCCCAACUGCCCAUCUUUGUUUAGGUCACAGACAAAAAGGUUCCCCCCCAACUACAAAAGAGAAAAUUUCCAGUGAGUGCAGCAAGGGGAAACAUCUACUUACUAAAAUUUGAAAAAAAAAUUCAAUUAGUUGAAGUUCUGACAUAGAACAAAAGCUUUCUUCCCCUUCUUAUGAGUAAAUCAUUUUAACCAAAUAGCACAUGAUAUAGGCAUUCAAAUACACAUAUACACACACACACUCAUGUGUGUAUGUAUAUACUAUGAGCAUAUACAUACAUAUAUGAUAUGUAUGUACAUAUACACCGAUGUAUAUAUUUAUGUCUGUGUAUAUAUACACAUAUAUUUUGUGUGUAUAUGUAUGUAUAUAUAUAUAUAUAUAUAUACACACAUGUAUAAACACAAAUAUUUCUAGCUGUACACACAUUUAUAAAUGUGUAUAUAUUAUCUCAGAUGGCACAGGACACAAGCAGUUUGUGUUUGUGUGUGUAUGUAUAUAUAGUCUCCAAGCAAUUUGCUCAAAUUAUGAUAGUUUCCUGAAAGCAUUUAAAGGGCUGUCAUUUGAGUAGUUUGAGGUACAGUGGAUAGAGUGCUGGGUCUGGAGUAAGGAAAACUCAUCUUGCAUUUAAAUCCAGCCUCAAACAUUUACUAGCUCUGUGUUCCUGAGCAAGUCAUUUAGCCCUGUCUGCCUCAGAAGGAAAUAUCUCCAGUACCUUUGCCUAGAAAUUCCAAAUGGGGUCAUGAAGAUGCAGUCGUGACUGAACGACAAACUUGGAGAAGAGGGCUUAGACAUGUCUGCUAGACCUUAAAAAAGGGAGCUGGAGAGAAGGGAUGGAAAGCACUGGGCAGAUUGGGGCUUGAUAGAAGAGGGAAGUCACCGACUAGGAGAGUGCUCCCAAAGUGGAAAGUGGCUGUGUUGCCUUGGCAGAGAUUUUAUGAUCACUUAUUGGGUUUGGGAUAGAGGAAUUCUUGGGAAGGUAUAGCCUGGACUACAUGGCACCAUGGUCCUUUCUGGGAAGGCACAAUUCACUUGCCACUCAGUAAUUUCCUGCCUUUGAAAUAAGCCUGGAUUUAUGGUUUCCAAAAGGUUCAGCUGGCUUUCCAGGAGAAGAACAUAGGGGUCCCCAAAGGCGAUGCUGUUCCUCAAAGGUAUGGAGGAAGGGGCUUUGGACCCCUUCCCCGUUCUGCUUUCUGCACUCCCCACGCUCAUCAUUCCAGGCUGAGGCUAAAAACUUACCCAGGUGACUCAGACUCAAGUGUGAUUGGUAUCUGUCAAUUCAGGAUCUCUGGCACCAGGAGCACUCAGCUUUUCUCCCAGCUGAGCCCUCUCCAGCCCCUGGCUCACCCUCAAGGGCUCCAGCUUGAGGUCUACCUUCCGGGAAGCCUUCCUGGACAUGGUGGUCCCCAUUGGUCUCUCCCUACCUACUCUAUCUUGUCUGGAUCCUUCAGAGGUUUCAUUUCAAAUCGAUCAAAAAAAUUUCCUGUUGGCUUUUUAAGUGCUGCUAAGUGCUCCUAUGCUAGGAAUUGGAUUGAUCUCUCCAUUUUUAACAGAGUAAUAAAUCAGCAUUUUUAUAUCUGGAGCAAACAUCACAGAUGAACAGUCAGGAGAAGGGAGGAGGAGAAACUCAUAUAUGGGGUCAGAGACAAGGUCAUUGUUAGGGAUGCUGCCACCUCUACCCUCCUAAGCAGAGGAAGAGGGCUAUUAGAUAGCUUCCUAUUUAAACAGCCCUAAAUAGCUAGUGAUCAGGAAUAAUUACUUGUGUUUUCACACAUCCCUGAAUACUAGGGAAUGGUAUAUAAAUGUUUAUAGCAACCAGUUUCUUGAAACUAACCCCACCCCACCAAAACCUCAAAGUAUGUUAAACCUGAAAGGGAUUUGAGAGAUCAUUUAAUAAUAAUAGUAGGUAGCAUUUCUAUGAUGCUUUACAAAUAUUAUCUCAUUUUUAUCCUUACAAAAACCCUGGGAGGUAGGUUAGUAUUAUCUCUAUUUUUAUAACGAGGCAACUGAGACAGAUAGAGAUUAAAUGAUUUAUCUAAGACUACACAACUAGCAAGUUUCUGAAGCCAGAUUCCUGACUCUAAGCCUAAUAAUGUUCUUUCUGUUCAUUGGCUGCUUCUAGUCUGUGAUCCUGAGCCUAAUACUCUUUUCACUGGCUGCUUCUAGUCUGCCUCCAUGGUUUUACAGAGAAAGAAACUGAGAUCCCACAGAAAGGCACAAAGGAAGACUUUACUCUUAUCAAGUAAACCUGAGCUUUCAUGAAGUCUAUUAGGACUUGAAUGUCAUAGACUCACAACUGUUCAAGAUUUCAUUUUACAGAUAAUAAAGCAGAGACCUAGAAUUCCUAUCAGAGCAAUGGUUGACACAAGACCUUUCAGGGCAUCAAUCACUCUGGUCUCAUGACUUAGGUCAAACAGCUAGGCGAGGAAGGGUCUCCUUCAUUCUUUGUUCCAUUCUCUCUUCCCUCCCUAUUUAAAAAAAAUAUUCAACUCCCUUUUUAUGUGUUUCUUCACUCUCUAGAUUAGAAUAUAAAUUCUUCGAAGGCAGGAACUGUUUCUUUUGGUUUGUGUUUAUAUUUUUAACAAUACACAGUUCCUGGGACAUAGGAAAUGUCCUGCUGAUAUCUAUACAUCAAUUUAUUUGUCAAUCUAUCGAUUUAUCCAUCAAUGACUUCCCAUAACAUUCAAGGUCCUCAACAAAAUGAGUCCUAUGCCUUUUCAUUUUGUCUCACACUAUAUUAGCCUCAAAAUCAGGAGGACCUGCAUUCAAUUUACUGUACAAUGACAUGUAAAAUCAACAAGAGUUAGGCUAGAACAGUAGUAUUCCUGGGACUAUCUGAGAAGAUCUAAAGAAAGAUAACAGAACGGAGAUUUGGCCAAUGUGAACUCCUGGCUAGCUCCAGGGCUAAGAAUUAACCCUGGAGCUAGCUGGGUUGGGAGGUAGCCUCUACGCCAGCCACGGGAAUUUUCACUUUGUAAACAAUGUGGGGGAUCCCUCUGAGGGGGAAAUUGGGGGAACCUCUGCUGAUAAGGGACUGCUGAUAAGUGCAACUGAGAUGCUGCUUCGGGCAAAAAGGAACCAGCACGUACCUACAGUAUGUGAAGCACGGAUGCUUCUGUGGGCACAUACAGGAGGGUUGAGUUCUUGGUUCCUGUUGCAGCCUGAAGAGAACUGAAGAAUGACCUGAAGCCAGAGGCACUAUCCCCCACACCUCAGGACUAGAGGUAAUUACAAUAAUAAGCUCCUAUUUAAAAAAAAAAAAUAAGCAAAGGAGAAAAACCCCAACCAUUGAAAGUUAUUAUGUGGAUAAAGAUGAGGAUUCAUCUUCAGAGGAUACUGAAGCAAUAAAAGUGUCUCAUACCCCAAAGAGUAACAUCAAAUGAUCACCUGCCCAAAGAAGUACAUAGAAGAACUUCAAAAAGACUUUAAAAAUCAAAUGCAUUUUUUAAAAAAUUAAGUACAAUCCAAGAAAAAUAAGAAAAUUAUAAAAAGAAAGACAAGUAACUGGAAAAAGAGAUGCAAAAUCUUAAGAAAACAACUCCUUGAAAAUUAGAAUUGGGCAAGGGGAAGCCAAUGAAGUUGUAAGAGACCAAGAAAUAUAUUUUUUUAAAUAUAAAGAAUGAAAAAAAUAGAACAGAAUGUGACGCAUCUAAGAAGAAUAACAACUGAUCUGGAAAACAGAUCAAGAAGGAAAAAACAUAAGAACAAUCAGAUUACCUGAGAAUUGUGAUCAAAAAAAGAAUCUUGAUACAAUAAUACAAGAAAUAAUUUUUUAAAUUGUCCUGAAGAGUUAGAACAAGAGGGGAAAAAUAGAAACAGAAAAAAAAAUCCAAUAGUCACUACCAAAAAAAGUUCUUACAAAGAAAACCUACAAGAAAAUCAUAGCCAAAUUCUGAAACCCCAGCUCAAGGAGAAAAUAUUUCAAGCAACAAGGGAAAAAAAUUCAAAUAUAGUGGAGCCAUAUUUAGAAUCACACAAGACCUAAUAUCACCACACUAAAAGAACACAGGGCUUGGAACACUAUAUAUUGAAGAGCACAGUUAAAAAUUCAUACCCAGCAGUUAAACAUAAUCUGAAGGGGAAAAAAGAACUUUCAAUGAAUUUUCAGGUUUUCAAGAUUUUGUUGCAAAAACACCUGAACUUAACAAAAAAUUUGGCAUGUAAAAUCUUAAGAGAAAUAUAAGCUAAAUAUCAAAGAUUCAAAUGAAAGACUUAAAAUAAACUGUUUACUUUUUAAAUGUGGAAAUAUAAACUGUAUGUCUAAAAUUGUUAUUAGUAAUUAGAUAGUUCUAAAGAAAGAUUGGGACAGAGAUGAAUAUAAUGUGUUUCUAAAAAGUAAAACUGUAGAAAAAGCUAAAAAGAUUAAUUAUACAAAUGAGGUGCAAGAGGAAGAACUGGCACACAAGAAUUAUAAGGAGGAGAGCUGGUAGUUCUCCUACAGUACAUCCUAAGGAAUGGAUUAAAGAGGAAACAAUACAUAUGUGUGUGUACUAACAUAUAUAACAUACAAUGCAUAUAUUUACACAUAUGUGUAUAAAAGUCUUCUAAAUGCAGAAAAAAUAUGAUGCUAAGGGGAUGGGAGAGGAAGAGGCUGUAAGAGAGAGAUUAGAAGAAGCAGUGUUAAAGAGAGAACAUACAUUUUAAAGGGAAUCAAAGUCUUUUAAAUUUAUAAAGAAAUAAGAACAUGAAAGAAUAGAAGACUUCUGAAAAAGUGUAUAGAUCAAUGGGAAUGGGAUAAAGAAGGAACAACACAUAUACUUGGAAGGCUAUAAAAGUCUUCUAAAUUCAGAUAAAAACAAUAAGGCAAAGGGAAAGAGUGGGCUGAGAGGAUAAGGGAGGGAUCUUUGGAGAGGGAGUAGAUUAAUAGGAGAGCAAGGUAGCUGGUAGAAAUAAAGCAGAAGAAUCAUGAGGGAUAGAAAAUAAGAAAUACACACAAACAUAAUAAAGAUCAGGAGUGCAAUUUAUUAGGUUAAAAGAAGCAGGAGUAAUAAUCAUGAUCUCAGAAAAGCUAAAAUGUAUUUUAAUCAAGAGAGAAAAAUAGGGAAGCUAUGUCAACCAUAUUAAUUAAUAUGUUUAGAUUAUUUAAAAUAACUAGAGAGUAUAGCAUUGGAAUAUUACUAUGAUGUAAGAAACUGUGAGUUUGUGGAUUUAGAAAAAUAUGGAAGGACUUGAAUUUAUAAAGGAAAAGGAACUUUCAGAGAAACAGAGGACAAACAUAGCAUGACCUUACUUAGGUGUAUAUAAAUGUGUAUAUAUGAUCAUAGAUAUCUAUAUGCAGGUAUAUUUAUAUAUGUGUACAUAUGUAUAUGCAUGUACACGUGUGUAUAUAUAAACAUAUCCAUGCUUAAUUGUAGCCUUUCGGGAGGAGGUGGAAUAAAGAAAAAAAGUGCACAUCAGAGAGCAAAAGAAAAUUUAUAUGGAAGCAAAGAAAAGAUGGAUAUUUCUGAACACAAUUGUGUAGUAUUUAUUAUACAGGCUUUCUCGAAAUGGAAAUUUAUUGCUGUGUAUUUUGAAUCCUUUCUAAUAUUCUGCUGUGCACAUGACAAUGGUGAGGUUUUUUGUUUUCUAUUUUGUAUUUAAGUUUUAAAUAAAUGAAAUUUUGAAAAUGUCAUUGGAAAAUGCUUAAAAAAUAAAUAAAUGAUACAAUCCAAUAUAAAUAAUUAGAGGAGUCAGGAAGACUCGAAUUCAAAUAUAGUUUCAAACACUGACUGUAUGACCCCGGACAAGUCAUUAAACAACUAUCUGUCUGUUUCUUCAUUUGUAAAAUGGGAAUAAAAAUUUUAUUUACCUCCAAGUGGGUUAAAGGAUAAAGUGAAAUAAUACAUGUAAAGUGCUUUGUAAAACUUAAAAUGCUAUGAAAAUUUUAACUAUUUUUAUUAUUUGUCAUUUUGGAACCCCAGGUCCACUUUAGUACCUUGCAUAUUUAGUACUGAAAAGAUAUAAUCAUCAUUACUAGCUAUCAUCAACUCUUUUUG